rnacentral:rRNA from 1 species
AUCGGAACGUACCCAGUAGCGGGGGAUAACUACGCGAAAGCGUAGCUAAUACCGCAUACGCCCUACGGGGGAAAGGGGGGGAUCGCAAGACCUCUCACUAUUGGAGCGGCCGAUAUCGGAUUAGCUAGUUGGUGAGGUAAAGGCUCACCAAGGCUUCGAUCCGUAGCUGGUUUGAGAGGACGACCAGCCACACUGGGACUGAGACACGGCCCAGACUCCUACGGGAGGCAGCAGUGGGGAAUUUUGGACAAUGGGGGAAACCCUGAUCCAGCAAUGCCGCGUGUGCGAAGAAGGCCUUCGGGUUGUAAAGCACUUUUGGCAGGAACGAAACGGCGCCGGAUAAUACCUGGCGUCACUGACGGUACCUGCAGAAUAAGCACCGGCUAACUACGUGCCAGCAGCCGCGGUAAUACGUAGGGUGCAAGCGUUAAUCGGAAUUACUGGGCGUAAAGCGUGCGCGGGCGGUUCGGAAAGAAAGAUGUGAAAUCCCAGGGCUCAACCUUGGAACUGCAUUUUUAACUCCCGAACUAGAGUAUGUCAGAGGGGGGUGGAAUUCCACGUGUAGCAGUGAAAUGCGUAGAUAUGUGGAGGAACACCGAUGGCGAAGGCAGCCCCAUGUGAUAAUACUGACGCUCAUGCACGAAAGCGUGCGGAGCAAACAGGGAUUAGAUACCCUGGUAGUCCACGCCCUAAACGAUGUCAACUAGCUGUCGGGGUCUUCGGACUUUGGUAGCGCAGCUAACGCGUGAAGUUGACCGCCUGGAGAGUACGGUCGCAGAUUAAAACUCAAAGGAAUUGACGGG